rnacentral:rRNA from 1 species
GGUAGCCGGCCUGAGAGGGCGACCGGCCACACUGGGACUGAGACACGGCCCAGACUCCUACGGGAGGCAGCAGUGGGGAAUAUUGGGCAAUGGANGAAACUCUGACCCAGCGACGCCGCGUGCGGGAUGAAGGCCUUCGGGUUGUAAACCGCUUUCAGYAGGGAAGAAGCGAAAGUGACGGUACCUNCANAAGAAGCACCGGCUAACUAUGUGCCAGCAGCCGCGGUAAUACAUAGGGUGCAAGCGUUGUCCGGAAUUAUUGGGCGUAAAGAGCUCGUAGGUSGUUNGUNACGUCGGAUGUGAAAAYCUGNGGCUCAACCNCAGNCCUGCAUUCGAUACGGGCNANCUAGAGUKUGGUAGGGGA